UGGAGCCGAAAAUAGUCGUCCUUAACUUCCUUAACUUUUUCCAUUCAUUCUCUAUGGUAGUUCUUAUCACUACGGAUGUAAUAUUUUUCCGGCCACAAGCGGGAUUUUGGUGUCGCUGUUUCCCCCCUCGGCAGAAGUAAGGAGAUGAUUUCUUCUCUGAGUGACAGACAGCGGAGCGUCGAAAGGAGACCACAAACACGUUUUCGGAGGGAGAUGACAAUUAUUUUCAUCCGUCGACAAGUUAACUUUUCAAUUUGAAAAGAAAUCAUGAAUACCAUCAGCCUCUUUCCCGGAAAGAUGACGGUGACAUUUAGGAAGGGACCAUCGGGUCAUCUGCGGCAGGACCCAUCCUCUGAGGCCACGAGGAUAAAACACAAUCCUGGGCUUCAGGUCAAGAUUCCCAGAAACAUGACCUAGUGAAGACCAGUGCUCGCACUGUGGCCUUCCAGCGAGGAGGGGAUGUGUCGGACCGACAGGAGGUGAUGGGAGAGUACCUGCUGCAGUUCGGAAAGUACCAGAGAAAAUCUUUCAAGUGGCUCCUAGAGAACGAUGUUGGCUACACCAUCUACCUUAUGAAAAAGGUAGAUGAGGAGGAGAGAGCCGGGACCUUCAACCCACAGGGACACAGUAAGGACAGCCUGCUGUCUUUUCUGGACUAUGCCAGGAGCUUCCAGGAAAUCCAGGACCUGAGGAACUACCUGAUCUCCAGGAAGCCUACUGAACCAGUGGCGU